CCUACGGGAGGCAGCAGUGGGGAAUAUUGCACAAUGGGGGAAACCCUGAUGCAGCGACGCCGCGUGAGUGAAGAAGUAUCUCGGUACGUAAAGAUCUAUCAGCAGGGAAGAAAAUGACGGUAACUGACUAAGAAGCCCAGGCUAACUACGUGCCAGCAGCCGCGGUCAUACGUAGGGGGCAAGGGUGAUACGGUUGUACUGGGGGUAAAGGGAGCGUAGACGGCAGCACACGUCUGGAGUGAAACCCCGGGGCUUAACCCCGGAACUGACUUUGAAACUGGGCGGCUGGAGGGCAGGAGGGGUAAGCGGAAUUCCUAGUGUAGCGGUGAAAUGCGUAGAUAUUAGGAGGAACAGCGGUGGCGAAGGCGACUUACUGGACUGUAACUGACGUUGAGGCUCGAAAGCGUGGGGAGCAAACAGGAUUAGAUACCCUUGUAGUC
rnacentral:rRNA from 1 species